UACGAAGGGGGCUAGCGUUGCUCGGAAUCACCGGGCGUAAAGCGCACGUAGGCGGCUUUUUAAGUCAGGGGUGAAAUCCUGGAGCUCAACUCCAGAACUGCCUUUGAUACUGAGAGGCUUGAGUCCGGGAGAGGUGAGUGGAACUGCGAGUGUAGAGGUGAAAUUCGUAGAUAUUCGCAAGAACACCAGUGGCGAAGGCGGCUCACUGGCCCGGUACUGACGCUGAGGUGCGAAAGCGUGGGGAGCAAACAGG
rnacentral:rRNA from 1 species